GGCGGAAGGGUGCGUAACGCGUGGGUAAUUUGCCGUGAAGUUGGGGAUAACUCGCUGAAAGGCGAGCUAAUACCGAAUGUGAUCCGACGUGGGCAUCCCUGUUUGAUUGAAGCUGGGGACCGUAAGGCCUGGCGCUUCACGAUAAGCCCGCGACCUAUCAGCUAGUUGGUGAGGUAACGGCUCACCAAGGCUAAGACGGGUAGCUGGUCUGAGAGGACGACCAGCCACGCUGGAACUGAGACACGGUCCAGACACCUACGGGUGGCAGCAGUCGAGAAUUUUUCUCAAUGGACGAAAGUCUGAAGGAGCGACGCCGCGUGGGGGAUGAAGGGCUUCGGUCCGUAAACCCCUGUCAUUUGCGAACAAACCUUGCGUUUGAACAGAACGCGAGCUGAUUGUAGCGAAAGAGGAAGGGACGGCUAGCUCUGUGCCAGCAGCCGCGGUAAUACAGAGGUCCCAAGCGUUGUUCGGAUUCACUGGGCGUAAAGGGUGCGUAGGCGGUGGGGUAAGUCUGGUGUGAAAGCUCGGAGCUCAACUCCGAAAUGUCAUCGGAAACUACUUCACUUGAGGUUUGGAGGGGGGACUGGAAUUCUCGGUGUAGCAGUGAAAUGCGUAGAUAUCGAGAGGAACACCAGUGGCGAAGGCGAGUCCCUGGACAAAUCCUGACGCUGAGGCACGAAAGCUAGGGGAGCAAACAGGAUUAGAUACCCUGGUAGUCCUAGCUGUAAACGGUGCACGUUUUGCUGUGAGCGGAUUCGACCCCGUUCGUGGCGUAGCUAACGCGAUAAACGUGCCCGCCUGGGGAAGUACGGUCGCAAGAUUAAAACUCAAAGAAAUUGACGGGGGCCUGCACAAUCGGUGGGAGUAUGUGGGUUUAUUUCGUGCAACGCGAAAAACCUUACCUGGGUCUGGACAUGCUAGUAGAGGAGCCUGAAAAGCU
rnacentral:rRNA from 1 species